AGAAAGUAGACGUAGCAUUCAAUUUACAAACUAAUUUGACGUCACAGAAAAAUGGAAUAUAUAAAAGUGAAUGGCGAAGGGUGACGGAACAGAAGAAAAUGAAGAAUGCGAACAUGGCAUACACGACAUCUUACCAACCAUGGUACACAGCCCUGGGCAAUGGGCCUAAAUUUGCAAGAACGUUGAAAAUCCAACACAAAGGCCUUCAAAAUGUAAAUGGAAAACAACCAAGGAGACAGGGGACAAUUGCUGAGAAUGGACCGGAAUCUGUGAAGCGAUAUGAGCUGACAAAUCAUAGCAGAAGAGAAAAUGAAUUGAUCAGUUUUAUGGCAUUGUGUCAAAAACAUCGACAAUUCUACCUAAAUCAGACUGGGAGACGUGAAAGGGUUCCUUUGUUUACGAUUCCAGCUAUAUCACACAGUGCGUUGGUGAAAAUGGGCCCUAAAGCUUAUUGCGAUGGAACUUACUACCAAAAUGUCACAAGAGAUCACAAGACAAUGGUGAAGCACAGCAGCGCGCAAAGACAUUCUACACAAAGAGAAAGAGAAAUUCGGGAUAUCUAUUUUGAAACACGGUGAAAGGAUUUGCCUAUUUUUGUUAAUAGACAGACAAAGAUUCAGCCAUUUUCUCUGUUUCAGAUAUAUUCAUGUAUUUCAAUUGAUAUAAGGUAUUUAUUAAAAACUUUGGGAAUUACAAUUUGCGUAGCAUUUGACGUUGAAGAGGCCAUAAAUUCAAUGGAGCUAUAAUUAUCUGAUGUCUAAGAGACACAGGCAUUAUCAAAAAGGUGGGGAAAUAAUAAUUUCCUGUAACGAAAGAGGGGAACAUAUUCUCUUAAAUUUUUAAAAAUUUGCAAAAUUUCAUUGGGAUAGUUUCUGGACAGUACUGCUAAAGGAUAGCAUUUUCAACAGCCAAGCAAAAUGUGCAUGAGGGGGGUAGUCACUGCCACAAAGAGCC